UCGCGCGACUUGGGACGAUACACGCGCGUCGUACUGCCCGCUGCUACUACCAUAACCUUACUUGACGCAGCAGUGACUAGACGCCGGCCGGCGUCGCGCUCUGUUUUUAUAAAGUGAUUAGCGCAUUUAGAGAGUAAUUUCGACACUCCGUCACAAUGGCUAUCGCGUCUACAUAAUCGUGAACAUCGGCAGCACCGUGAGCAUAUAAUACGCGCGACAACUAAAUAAUUGACAAAGCGGUGGUAUGUGAGGCGCGAGGCGCGGUACGCCGACAGUCGCGCGACCUUCAAAGCAGCACGCUAGUACGCGCACGUACGCUCACGUACAGUCACUGUCACAAGUUUUUCAUCGCGCGGGGCGUCGCGCGCUUUCUUAUUUUGAGAAAUUCAUUUCAACGACAGCAGCGACAGCAUUUCACGAGCGUGCUUAUCGUGCUAGAGCAGUCAUUAACAGCGGCAGGAUCCUGAUACAUAACUGAUAAGGUAGAUCUGAUGACUACAUCGUAAAUAUAGACAUGGUGUCAAUGAAUCCGAUUUGGGCAAAUUUUCAAUUUUACUCAAGGUAAAUCUAA